rnacentral:rRNA from 1 species
UUGAACGCUGGCGGCAGGCCUAACCCCUGCAAGUCGCACGGUAACAGGAAACAGCUUGCUGUUUCGCUGACGAGUGGCGGACGGGUGAGUAAUGUCUGGGAAACUGCCUGAUGGAGGGGGAUAACUACUGGAAACGGUAGCUAAUACCGCAUAACGUCGCAAGACCAAAGAGGGGGACCUUCGGGCCUCUUGCCAUCGGAUGUGCCCAGAUGGGAUUAGCUAGUAGGUGGGGUAACGGCUCACCUAGGCGACGAUCCCUAGCUGGUCUGAGAGGAUGACCAGCCACACUGGAACUGAGACACGGUCCAGACUCCUACGGGAGGCAGCAGUGGGGAAUAUUGCACAAUGGGCGCAAGCCUGAUGCAGCCAUGCCGCGUGUAUGAAGAAGGCCUUCGGGUUGUAAAGUACUUUCAGCGGGGAGGAAGGGAGUAAAGUUAAUACCUUUACUCAUUGACGUUACCCGCAGAAGAAGCACCGGCUAACUCCGUG